rnacentral:rRNA from 1 species
UACGGAGGGUGCAAGCGUUAUCCGGAUUCACUGGGCUUAAAGGGUGCGUAGGCGGGUUGGUAAGUCCGUGGUGAAAUCUCCGAGCUUAACUCGGAAACUGCCGUGGAUACUAUCAUUCUUGAAUAUCGUGGAGGUGAGCGGAAUAUGUCAUGUAGCGGUGAAAUGCGUAGAGAUUGGGUGGAACACCAGGGGCGAAGGCGGCAUCCUGGCACGGACCUGACGCUGAGGCGCGAGAGCGUGGGGAGCAAACGGG